AGCAGCCGCGGUAAUUCCAGCUCCAAUAGCGUAUAUUAAAGUUGUUGCAGUUAAAAAAGCUCGUAGUUGAAUUUCGGGACCAAUCUGCCGGUCGUGCCUCCGGUACGCACUGGUUUUAUUGGUCUCUCCCUUCUGACGAACCAUGAUGUCAUUAAUUUGGUGUCAUGGGGAAUCAGGACUGUUACUUUGAAAAAAUUAGAGUGUUUAAAGCAGGCAUUAGCUUGAAUACAUUAGCAUGGAAUAAUGAAAUAGGACGUUUGAUCCUAUUUUGUUGGUUUCUAGGAUUGACGUAAUGAUUAAUAGGGAUAGUUGGGGGGCAUUAGUAUUCAAUUGUCAGAGGUGAAAUUCUUGGAUUUAUUGAAGACUAACUACUGCGAAAGCAUUUGCCAAGGAUGUUUUCAUUAAUCAAGAACGAAAGUUAGGGGAUCGAAGACGAUCAGAUACCGUCGUAGUCUUAACCAUAAACUAUGCCGACUAGGGAUCGGAUGAUGUUAAUUUUUUUAAUGACUCAUUCGGCGCC
rnacentral:rRNA from 1 species